rnacentral:rRNA from 1 species
GACGAACGCUGGCGGCGUGCCUAAUACAUGCAAGUCGAGCGGAUGAUGAAGAAGCUUGCUUCUUCUGAUUUAGCGGCGGACGGGUGAGUAACACGUGGGCAACCUGCCCUGUAGAUUGGGAUAACUCCGGGAAACCGGGGCUAAUACCGAAUAAUCCAUUACCUCACAUGAGGAAAUGUUAAAAGACGGUUUCGGCUGUCACUACAGGAUGGGCCCGCGGCGCAUUAGCUAGUUGGUGAGGUAACGGCUCACCAAGGCGACGAUGCGUAGCCGACCUGAGAGGGUGAUCGGCCACACUGGGACUGAGACACGGCCCAGACUCCUACGGGAGGCAG